UACGGAGGGUGCAAGCGUUAAUCGGAAUUACUGGGCGUAAAGCGCACGCAGGUGGCUGAGUCAGUCGAUUGUGAAAGCCCUGGGCUUAACCUAGGAAUUGCAGUCGAUACUACUCAGCUAGAGUAUGGGAGAGGGCAGUGGAAUUCCCGGUGUAGCGGUGAAGUGCGUAGAUAUCGGGAGGAACAUCAGUGGCGAAGGCGGCUGCCUGGCCCAAUACUGACACUCAGGUGCGACAGCGUGUGGAGCAAACAGG
rnacentral:rRNA from 1 species